UCGACGUUGAUGAUUCACGAGCAGAGGUGCCACCUCCAAGGCGCUAAUUGAUGAUGCAAACCGAGUUUAUUUUAGCGCACUCGAGUCGACUGCUGCCGGUGGAGGAUUCACUGGAAA
rnacentral:snoRNA from 1 species